UCCUCACGACCACACAUGAAAUUCCUCUCCUCCUUUCCAAACCAUGAAACAACCUCUGUGAACUGAAGACUUCGAAUUUACACUUCAUAUUUCCCUCAGACUCGACAAUUCCUUCAUUAUGUGAACUGGGUAAGGAGGCAAAUGGAUCAUCAUGACCACGAAAGGUGUAAAUAGAAAACUCUAGUUUUCUCAAGCCAUUUGGGUAUCCCGCGAUUGCGGACUGCUCAAGAACUAGCAACCCGACUGGGUUGGCCAAGCAAUGGCUGCUAAAGGAACCGCAGAAGAAAAUUAUGAAGGCAAACAAAAAAGUAUUACCAGGCGCUCAUUUGCAUUCGCGGAGGCACUAAGUCAAGCCACUGAAAAGAAUGCUUCGGCCUUCAUGAAUAGAAUAACACAAUGAGUUCUGAAUGAAGGUGGGGUACGUCAACUUGGUCCAAGUUGCCAUAGUGAGAUACCGGCCGAUGUUGAAAAAGUUUUGAAUCAACAGGAAGUAGAUGAUUCUAGCUAUUUCAGUGAAGGAAAAGCAUGGGGAGCAUGGGGGACAAAACCAGGAAAGUGGCCUAGUGAAAUAGCCAAUUGGAUUCCUUGGGUAGAAUGAGUUGAGAAAUGAUUUGGGGAUGUAUGGAAACGACUUGGGAUUUACGACGCCAUCAAGCUUUCCACCAUUACUAUUCCCUGUGAUCGCCCCUUGCUGGCUGCUGCUAUGUGUUUUUGGAGUUCGCAAACAAGCUCUCUGGAGCUUCAAUUUGGUGCACUUAGUCCGACCUUGAUUGAUAUAGCGGCCAUUAUAGGCCUGCCGCUCCAUGGGCAAGUGGUGGACAUAGUAUUUGUAGAAAGAAAGUUUGACAUUGAUCGUAGUGGUGAGCUAAGAGAUCGAAGUAAGGGCAGACCAGCCGUUGCCAAUUUUAAUACAUGGAUUGAGGUGUUUAACAACGGCUUGGUGAGGAAGUCACCUGAUAGUAAUGGCAGCCCGAAGGAGAAAGAGGAAAGCUAAUAUGAGACAAUGGAAGUUACUCCUGUAGAGCAUGCUGCGUUUCUUGCCUUUUGGAUAUGUAAGUUCUUAGUGUGCACAACUUCUAAAAAAGUGAAUGUGGAAUACUACAAGUUGGCUGAAGCAUUAGCAAGCAAAGAAGUGCAAGAGAGUGAUCCGCCAUUAGCUCUUGGUCCAUUUGUGCUCACCCACUUGUACAGAUGUCUUCAUCAUUAUGUGACUGAAGGAGUGAACCGAAAUUGGCCUGGGCCAUUAUGGAUUUUUCAGUUGUGGCUUCAUACUUAUUUCCCUGCAUUCAGACAGCCAGGUAUAGCAUUGGCCGCAGACACCACUCUUGGACAACAGUUGGGUCCGCUUGAGUUAUUACCUCAUUAGGCAGAAGAGUGUUUUGAGAUUUUGUUCAAGUGUCCAGAAUUCUCUGCAGAACAGUAUGCCGUUUGUUUCAACAGGAAGUAUCCAUCCUACCUUAUCGUAGAUAUCAGCCAACACGCCUAAGAAAGCGAGACGAGAUGGGAGACUGCGUGUUCAACUUGGAAGAGUACAAUAGGUAUGAGGGAUCUCUUCUGGGGUGCCUUGUCUGGUAAAACACUCAAGUGUGGAGUGGAGUUAUAUGCACCAUCCUAUUUUAGUCGUCAGUUGGGAUAUUAUCAAGCCAUACCUACUCCGGUUCCAGAAUCAUCAAACCGAUAUAGUUCAUUACGAGCCGUUUUUUCCAACGAGGAUGACAUUGAGCAGAAUAAUAAGGCGUUUGUGUACAACAUGAGUUUUCCCAUGAAGACAAGAGUAGCAACUAGCAAGAGUUCCUCCCAGUUCAGAGAGUGGUGGGCAAAACGAGUAGGUAGCUGUUUUAAAGAUGGGUUGGUGUCAGCUAGGCGAUCGGCUUUUGUAGGAAAUCCAUGGGCACAAGAGAAGUCGAAAGCUGUAAGGCGUGGUAAAAUAACAAGCAAAGUUGCUAAAGAAAUCCCAACUAUAAGUAAGUUGUUGCCCCCCCCCAAGUGUACUUUCAUUUAUGCACAUGUUUUUAGUUUGUUCACCAACUUGGGGUUUGUUGAUUGUAGGUGGCCAAGAGUCUUUGAUGAAGUGUACUAAAGGUAGUACAAAAAGAAAGGCCAUCCAUAGUGCGGCCACUGAGGCGGCCAAAGGUAGGCCGAAAUCAAUUUGAAUUGCAGUCGGCCAUUAUGUAAGGAAUCAUGGCCGAUGGCUAAUGGCGUUUCUGUUUUGUCUCCUUUGAAUAACAGAUGGUGCCACCAUGUCUUCAACGUCUCAAUCUCCUCCAGCGAAACAAUCGGCAAAAAGCAAUUCUCUGAAAGUGAAGAACAAUUGUGCGUGACCAAACGAAGCCCCUGGAGACAUUCAAGAAGACCAACAUCCAAAAUGCCAUUCCUAGUGAAACAGAGGAAUCCGUGGAACUAACCACUGAUAAAGAUGGCCAACCAAGUAGUGACGAACCUGUGGGGGAGAUAAUUUUUUCUGAAAGAAUGGCCAAAAGCAAAGUUGUGACAAUGAAUAUGGAGGAGAAACUUGUGCUCACUCAAACUUCAACGCAAGCCAGUAUUCCCUCCUCGUCGCUUAGUGAGAAGCUGGUGUUGGCUAACGAACUAGAAGGUAAUCAAGGGUUUGAAGCCGAACUUCAGGCUUUCAUGAGGGCAUUUUCGGCCGAUGCUCUAAUCCAACCAGAACGCUGCUCGGUCAUUUCGCAGUUACCGACCGCUCAAUUGACAUCAAGGGAGGAAAUUGAUGGGGCUCUGAAGGUGGUAAAGGAAACGUUAGGGCAGCCAUUAAAAGAAUUUGUGGAAACAGGCCAACUAUCAAAAGUGAAAGUGGCCAUAGAUUUGUUACUUGGAGCCAAAUACUUUGCCCCUCCCAAGGUAGCCCUCAUUGGUGAGAAGCUAGAAGUGUUGACCCAACAAACAUCCGGUGUAGCUGGUUCGUACUAAGAAAUAGAAAAAAGGAGACAACAAAUCUUGGCUUAUGAGCAAAUGAAGAAAGCCUUGGUUCUUGAGUUUGGGUGGUGUAUGGAACAAAAACAGGUUGUGGAGUCUCUUGAAGGCAAGAUAAAUGAGUUGGAAAGACAAUUGGCGUCCUUGAAACAAGAGAGACAAGAAGUGGGGGAAAAGCUCCUUCAAAGGAGUAAGCAGUGUUUCCAAAGCCAAGGACAACUGAAAAAGAUAGAGGCUGAAUUGAAAAAUUCCGAGCCUAGGUGUAUGCAACUUGAGAGUGACCUUCAGGACAAUGGUUGUACCUUGGGAGCUCUUGAAGCUUUAUAGCCGAGUAAUGAUAAUUGAUGUAUGUGGCUCUUUUGUCAGCCAUUGGCCGGUGUUUGUAAACAUUUGAAAGUUAUGGGCCGAUGAAAAACUUAAUUAAUUAUUUGCUUGCCGGUAGAUUAUCAUAAACAUCGUUGGGUCAUGGAUAGAUAAUAUCUUGUAGUAGUAAAUACAAGUGAAGUAUAAUGGUCAAGCAAA